AACAUCUUUUCUUGAUAUUAAUUUGAGAUUUUACCUGCCCAAUGAUUUUUUAAUGGCCGCGGUAUUUUGACCGUGCAAAGGUAGCAUAAUCAUUAGUUAUUUAAUUGGUAACUUGUAUGAAUGGUUUGACGAAACAUUAACUGUCUCUUUUUUAUAUUUGAAAUUAAAUUUUUAGUUAAAAUGCUUAAAUUUUUUUAUUGGACGAGAAGACCCUAUAGAUCUUUAUUUUUAUUUAUUUUAUUUGGUUUAGUUUUAUUUUUAAUGAUGUUUAUUUUAUUUUGUUGGGGUGACAUGAAGAUAUAUAUAACUCUUUAUAUUUUUUUACAUUUAUUUUUGAAUAUUUGACCUUAUUAUAUUGUUAAAAGAUUUAGAUACCUUAGGGAUAACAGCGUAAUUUUUUUUGAGAGUUCUUAUUGACAAUAAAGAUUGCGACCUCGAUGUUGGAUUAAGAUAAUAAUAUGGUGUAGUUGCUAUAUUUGAUAGGUCUGUUCGACCUUUAAAUUCUUACAUGAUCUGA
rnacentral:rRNA from 1 species